GCUCGGGGGCGGGGCGUGAAUAUUGGGGCGGUAUCUGGGGCGUGGUCUCGGCGCAGUGGGCGGGGCCACGUUACAUGCAGGGCGUGCCUGUGGGCGAGUAAAUGGGCGGGACUCCUGUCAGUCUCCUCCGCCGGAAGUGGCGGGCUCCGUUACUUCCGCUUCCGUCGCCGCCAUGCCGCUCGCAGCCCGCCUGGCCCGUUCCCUCCUGCGCUCCACGGCCCGGCCCGGCCCGGCCCGACGUGGCAUAAUCUCGGGGCCACCGCAGCAGCCGCUGGGACCCGGGGAGAGCGUCGUGGGCUUCCUCGCCAUGUUCACUGCCUGCCUGGGCCCCGCUGCCUGGGUGCUCGCCCACCUCGAGGACUACAAGAAGCGGGAGUGACACCCCCCCACCUCACCUCCCGUCAUUCCACUGGGACCACCCACCGCCGGGACCAGCCAGCACUGGGACCACCGGGGGCUCCGCACCAGGACCCCCCCGCCGAUGGGACCCACCUCAAUAAAGUCCGUUGAUGCCGC